rnacentral:rRNA from 1 species
UACGUAGGGUGCGAGCGUUAAUCGGAAUUACUGGGCGUAAAGCGUGCGCAGGCGGUUCGCUGUGUCCGAUGUGAAAGCCCCGGGCUUAACCUGGGAAUGGCAUUGGAAACUGGCGGGCUUGAGUGCGGCAGAGGGGGGUGGAAUUCCGCGUGUAGCAGUGAAAUGCGCAGAUAUCAGGAGGAACACCGGUGGCGAAGGCGGAUCUCUGGGCCUUGCCUGACGCUGAGGCGCGAAAGCUAGGGGAGCGAACAGG